rnacentral:rRNA from 1 species
AUUGAACGCUGGCGGCAGGCCUAACACAUGCAAGUCGAGCGAGCGGCGGACGGGUGAGUAAUGUAUGGGGACUGCCCGAUAGAGGGGGAUAACUACUGGAAACGGUGGCUAAUACCGCAUACUGUCGGGUUGCCCAUAUGGGAUUAGCUAGUAGGUAUGGUAAUGGCUUACCUAGGCGACGAUCCCUAGCUGGUCUGAGAGGAUGACCAGCCACACUGGGACUGAGACACGGCCCAGACUCCUACGGAGGCAGCAGUGGGGAAUAUUGCACAAUGGGCGCAAGCCUGAUGCAGCCAUGCCGCGUGUAUGAAGAAGGCCUUAGGGUUGUAAAGUACUUUCAGUGGGGAGGCGUUACCCGCAGAAGAAGCACCGGCUAACUCCGUGCCAGCAGCCGCGGUAAUUC